GAUGAACGCUGGCGGCGUGCCUAAUACAUGCAAGUCGAGCGAACAGACGAGGAGCUUGCUCCUCUGACGUUAGCGGCGGACGGGUGAGUAACACGUGGAUAACCUACCUAUAAGACUGGGAUAACUUCGGGAAACCGGAGCUAAUACCGGAUAAUAUAUUGAACCGCAUGGUUCAAUAGUGAAAGCCGGUUUUGCUGUCACUUAUAGAUGGAUCCGCGCCGCAUUAGCUAGUUGGUAAGGUAACGGCUUACCAAGGCAACGAUGCGUAGCCGACCUGAGAGGGUGAUCGGCCACACUGGAACUGAGACACGGUCCAGACUCCUACGGGAGGCAGCAGUAGGGAAUCUUCCGCAAUGGGCGAAAGCCUGACGGAGCAACGCCGCGUGAGUGAUGAAGGUCUUCGGAUCGUAAAACUCUGUUAUUAGGGAAGAACAAAUGUGUAAGUAACUAUGCACGUCUUGACGGUACCUAAUCAGAAAGCCACGGCUAACUACGUG
rnacentral:rRNA from 1 species